ensembl:lncRNA
GUAUAUAUACAUUAUAUAUACACAUAUAUAUUAUUAUUCAUAUUCUUUUCUACUAUAAUUUACUACAGGAUAUUGAACAUAGUUCCCUGCCCCAAUUGCCAAAUUUUUGUUUAAUUUGUAAAUGAAGAACAGAAAGAAAAGAUAUGAUCUCCAAGAAAAGGUUUAAGUAAGACAUUUGGCACAAUUGCAUGCUGAAUCUUUGAUGAUGCCCAUGUACCAACACUUGGACUGCAUUCUUUAGUAAGAGUCACUUAUACCUGUUUCUGGAGUCUGGCAGCUCAGAAGGGCUCCUUUUUUGGCUCCCAUGAGGAUAUCCCUUCUGCUACAGAGUACAAGAUUAUGCAGUUCUCUAGUAUAAUCUCUUUGUAUUAUUUCUGAACACAAUAUGAGCUAUCAUGUUAUGGAAGUAUUACAU